UACGUAGGGUGCGAGCGUUAAUCGGAAUUACUGGGCGUAAAGCGUGCGCAGGCGGUUCGUUGUGUCGGCGGUGAAAGCCCCGGGCUUAACCUGGGAAUGGCCGUCGAAACUGGCGAACUGGAGUGUGGCAGAGGGGGGUGGAAUUCCGCGUGUAGCAGUGAAAUGCGUAGAGAUGCAGAGGAACACCGAUGGCGAAGGCAGCCCCCUGGGCUGACACUGACGCUCAGGCACGAAAGCGUGGGGAGCAAACAGG
rnacentral:rRNA from 1 species